rnacentral:rRNA from 1 species
AAACCAGCACCUCAAGUGGUCAGGAUGAUUAUUGGGCCUAAAGCAUCCGUAGCCUGCUUUGCCAGUUUUCGGUUAAAUCCAUACGCUUAACGUAUGGGCUGCCGGAAAUACUACAAAGCUAGGGAGUGGGAGAGGUAGACGGUACUCGGGAGGAAGUGGUAAAAUGCUUUGAUCUCUCGAUGACCACCUGUGGCGAAGGCGGUCUACCAGAACACGUCCGACGGUGAGGGAUGAAAGCUGGGGGAGCAAACCGGAUUAGAAACCCUAGUAGUCC